AGUGAACGCUGGCGGCAGGCCUAACACAUGCAAGUCGAGCGGCAGCGCGGGGCAACCUGGCGGCGAGCGGCGGACGGGUGAGGAAUUCGUCGGAAUCUGCCUUUUUGUGGGGGAUAACGUAGGGAAACUUACGCUAAUACCGCAUACGACCUACGGGUGAAAGUGGGGGACCGCAAGGCCUCACGCAGAAAGAUGAGCCGACGACCGAUUAGCUAGUUGGUAGGGUAAAGGCCUACCAAGGCGACGAUCGGUAGCUGGUCUGAGAGGAUGAUCGGCCACACGGGGACUGAGACCAGGCCCAGACUCCUACGGGAGGCAGCAGUGGGGAAUAUUGGACAAUGGGGGGAACCCUGAUCCAGCCAUGCCGCGUGUGUGAAGAAGGCCUUUUGGUUGUAAAGCACUUUAAGCGAGGAGGAGGCUACCGAGAUUAAUACUCUUGGAUAGUGGACGUUACUCGCAGAAUAAGCACCGGCUAACUCUGUGCCAGCAGCCGCAGUAA
rnacentral:rRNA from 1 species